GCAUUACACCUCAUUCAUCACUAGGAAUUUCAAUCAUGCUUUCCACUUCAUCUCACACACUCUCUUCGUUCCAUCACCCCAAACAAAGUUCAAGAGCAGAGCAACCAAGCAAACUCAGCAGCCAACCAUUUCAGAAAUUGAAGUGAAAUUCUAAAGGCUUUGUGACCAGGGGGAUUAGCGCUGUUUUCCCAAGACAGGUUUUUAUGUGUAUGAUCUUCAGGCUUUGCCUAUCCAGGUUGGCUGGCCGGUGCUGACGGGACGGAGCUGAGGCUAGAGAUAAAUUCCUAUGUUAGACUUCCGCUGUAGCAAUUAAUAUCAGUCUUUUGUUUUUCCCAACUUAAGAUCUUCAUGUUAAAUUUCAAAUGAUAUAUUUGACCGAGCUUAGACUCUUCACUACUAAAUUUAUGCUAAUGAAUGUCAGUUGUCAGAAGCAUGAAACAAAACUUGUGAUCCAAAGGGGCAUAGCCCGACUUUCUAUCCUAUUUCGGGUUUUUACAAAGUAUUUCCCUUGUUUAUUUCUAUGAAUUAUUUAUACCUCAAUUAUAUUUAUUC